CGAUCUGCUGCGGGCAGAUGAAGUGGAUGUGGGCGUCGAACGCACCGGCGGUCAGGAUCUUGCCUUCUCCGGCGAUGGCCUCGGUACCGGGCCCGAUCGCGAUGUCCACGCCGUCCUGCGUAUCCGGGUUGCCGGCCUUGCCGAUGCCCGCGAUCCGGCCGUCGCGGAUGCCGAUGUCCGCCUUGUAGAUGCCCGUUACGUCGAUGAUCAGCGCGUUCGUGAUGACGGUGUCGACCGCGCCGUCAGCGCGCGCGAGCUGCGACUGUCCCAUGCCGUCCCU
rnacentral:sRNA from 1 species